AGCGGCGGACGGGUGAGUAAUGCCUAGGAAUCUGCCUGGUAGUGGGGGAUAACGUUCGGAAACGGACGCUAAUACCGCAUACGUCCUACGGGAGAAAGCAGGGGACCUUCGGGCCUUGCGCUAUCAGAUGAGCCUAGGUCGGAUUAGCUAGUUGGUGAGGUAAUGGCUCACCAAGGCGACGAUCCGUAACUGGUCUGAGAGGAUGAUCAGUCACACUGGAACUGAGACACGGUCCAGACUCCUACGGGAGGCAGCAGUGGGGAAUAUUGGACAAUGGGCGAAAGCCUGAUCCAGCCAUGCCGCGUGUGUGAAGAAGGUCUUCGGAUUGUAAAGCACUUUAAGUUGGGAGGAAGGGCAUUAACCUAAUACGUUAGUGUUUUGACGUUACCGACAGAAUAAGCACCGGCUAACUCUGUGCCAGCAGCCGCGGUAAUACAGAGGGUGCAAGCGUUAAUCGGAAUUACUGGGCGUAAAGCGCGCGUAGGUGGUUUGUUAAGUUGGAUGUGAAAUCCCCGGGCUCAACCUGGGAACUGCAUUCAAAACUGACUGACUAGAGUAUGGUAGAGGGUGGUGGAAUUUCCUGUGUAGCGGUGAAAUGCGUAGAUAUAGGAAGGAACACCAGUGGCGAAGGCGACCACCUGGACUAAUACUGACACUGAGGUGCGAAAGCGUGGGGAGCAAACAGGGAUUAGAUACCCUGGUAGUCCACGCCGUAACGAUGUCAACUAGCCGUUGGAAGCCUUGAGCUUUUAGUGGCGCAGCUAACGCAUUAAGUUGACCGCCCUGGGGAGUACGG
rnacentral:rRNA from 1 species